GGUGUUCCAAGAGCGGCGGGCGUCAGAGUGAAGGUGAGCGUGUGUGGCAGGUGCGAGGGUGGCGCUAGUGACGUCACGGGGGUGUGCGCCGUACGGAGGUGUGAGUGUGUGUGGCGGCAGCGUGGCGGCGGCGGCUGGGGUGUCUGGACGUGAGAGGGAUCGAGUUGGUGUGUGUGUGAAGGAAGACAGCACCCGCUUGUCCUCUACCAAGCUACCACCACACCACGCCUCCUACUCCCCUUUCUUACACCUAAAAACUUCCUUCCAACACAGUAUCAUUCAAAAAAGGACGUUUCAUGAAAGAAAACCAUGUAUAAACAGAAAGAAACAUGGAAGACCAAACCAUAUACACUGAAAAAUAUAACUUAAAGUCGAAAAGUGGAGUGAAUAAUAAGAAAAAAAGUUCCUUGGUGAGUGAUGCUUUAACCACGUGAAAGAGAGAGAGAGAGAUAGAGAGAAAAGGAGGGAAAAAUAGUGUGUCCUUAGCAUCAAGUUAGUAAAGAGUUGUGAGCGUCGCCUCGCCGCCACAUGGACCUGAGGACUCGCUGCCAAGGAAACGCUUAACGCGGGAGGCGGGCGUGCACCAUGUACGGGGCGGUGGGCGCAAGUAUCAGCGUCAGGCAGCAACGCAAGAAGUCACUCAGCCGUCAGUCGGUGAAGCCUCUCACCACCCCGGCUAAGAAAGCCAAAGUCCACCCGCACCUGGCCAAGACUCACACCGCGACACAGGCGAGGUCCGCACACCCGAGAAGACUGGGCGUUGCUUAAAUCCUCGACGGCUGCCUUGUGGAGGGAUUCUGCCUCUUCACCUCCUCUCCUGGCACCGACCACCACCACCACAACCACCUCCACCCACCUCCACUUCACCACUACUGCUGCCCUCCCACUCACUCCUCGCCUAAUUCAACUUCCCUCCCUCCACCCCCUCUGUCACUUGAAACCUUGACCACCGUAGCUGAGCGCACUGCAGAGAGUGGCAGGGAGUCGGUAGCUACCAUGGCACAGUGGGUGUGGUGGCGGGAGGCAUUAUUGCUCUCUCCUUGCACGAGGUGAAACUUGCCCUAACCUGUGCGGUCCUUCUUGACUUGGUGAUGCCUCGGCUCAGCUUAAUGGUGUUGGGUGUUUUGUGUUGACUGUAGCACCAGCAUGCAGGCCGCUCUCCUCGUCCGUAAUAACAGGAGGAAGCGAGGAAAAGUCAAACCUCAGACGCUCCAGGGCAGCCUUCCGCCCCAUGUUGCCAGCCAACCCAUCAAGCCCUUCCCGAGAUACAACCCUAAGAAGGUGAGUGUCACCGCACUCCGUCACUGCCCGACGCAGGUAAGUCCCUCUGUCCCGUAGCGCCUACACUAAGCAAGAUCGCGACCUUGACGGCACCAGCUGUGAAGGCCUUAGUUCUCCAAAGAAUGAAGCAGUUUGCACACUGGUAGUAAGGGAUGAGAGGCAAGCUCAAGGGGUAGAAAGUUUUCACGCUGUUCCCCCAAACCUGGCCGCCAACGGGGCGUGGAAGGCCGGCUGCCGCGGCCUUGGGACACCUGCGGAACCAACAGGUAAGUCGCGUCAGCAACACUGUCUUGUCUUGAGGCAUGCCACGCUUGGUGGAACCUGUCUGUGCCUGAUUGUUUUGCUCCUCGGUGUUCGGUGGAGGCUCGCAGUGCAAUGGUGCAUGUCACAUCGGCUGCUUGUUGCAUCUUGCCAGCCAGCCUGACGGAGCUAUGCGUUGCCUCACCCACAUGUUAUCUUUCCACAAGACAAAACGCGGCGCGUUAACCUCCGCUCACUGCGCCUGACACGCGUGUAAAACGAAUCCGAGCGACGUGACUCCUGCCAGCCCCAGCCUGACGGAGGAGCAGCAGGCGCAGGUGGGGUGCAAGUGCAAUCAAUGCCUCGCCAUGACGUGCCACUCUGACAUCAACACUGAACAUAUUUCCAAAGUGAUUUUUAGACGCCGCUCGUGAAUCAAGGCCGUGAGUGUCAAUUUAUGCACCGUGAAGAGAGCAGGCCGACCACCGCCUCGCCAGCAGAGAAAAUAAUCGAUCACUGUUUUCAUUAUCAUCUUCUCUGUUAUUGUUUUACUGUUAUUAUUAU